UAGUGUUUAUAUUUGUAGGAGGCGAUGAAGAAGAGGAUCCAGAUGAACCUACACUUUGACUAUGGAGGGUACUAUACAGCAGACCAUGAGUGAAGUUGCAAAAAUUCAAUAUACGGUAUAGUGUUUAAGACAUCAUCUUUGGAGAGAAUAACAUAUGCGGAUUUAAUAGAUAAGAUCUGUAGAAAGAUUGCUCUAGGUGGAGAGAAAAGGAAUCUGAAAUUGAGUUACAAGAUAUGUAAAGCAUGGAGAGAGUCUUAUAUUGUAGAUAAUGAGGAUGUGUUGAUAUAUUUAACGUCAUUGGAUAAAGAGGGAUUUAGACCUGUUUUGCAUGUAGAGUUAUGCAGUGAUUUGGAAAGUAAUAAUAGGCAAGUUCCAAUAGUAGAGCGAAGAAGUUCAUGCGGUGUAAAUUAUGGGGAAUUGGCUGCCAAUGUUGUAAUGGUUGCGGAUGUAAAUACAGGAAUUCUGAGUACUAAUGAACUUAUUAUUGAACUAGAGGAACAGCGUGAGACAGUUAGUGAACCUAUUAUUGAACUAGAGGAACAGCGUGAGACAGUUAGUGAACCUAUGAUGCUAGAGAAUGGAGUUUCUGAAACUGUUAUUGAACCGCUGAUGAUAGAGUGUGGGGUUAAUGAAGAUUCUGAUAAUGAUUAUGUUAGGGAAGAAUAUUGAUAAUAGGUUUUUAGUCAAUUAAUUCUAAAACACUAUCCUGUCGUUGUAGUAUUUUAGGUGUCAAUCCAAAUGAGUGUGAUACAAACAAAUGAGAUGUGAUCAGAAGUCACUAAGUCAAGCCAAGCAAUAACAGUUUUGGGGUUUCUAACAGUCCUAAGCGAACAUGCAGAAAACAGAAACAAUAACAGAAUUACUAAAAUCACUCGACUACAACAGGCUGAUGCCAGAAGUAGGAUGUGGUCGAGUAACUGGUCGAGUAACAGACAUGAUAUGAAACAGAUAUACUCGACUGCACAGUCUGUUGCCAGACACUGGGUGUGGUCGAGUAUACUGGUCGAGUAACAGACAGGAAACAAGAUAACUGUACUCGACUGCACAGUCUGUUGCCAGACACUGGGUGUGGUCGAGUAAGUUGGUUGAGUAAUUGCAAAAACUAAGAAACAAGCAAUGAGAAUGAUUAAGCGAUAACGAUAAAACAGAGAAAUAAUAUAGACGAGAAAUUCCUAAGGAUGGGGUAAUCGAGUAUAGUGGUAUCCUAGCCUAUCCGAAUGGUUAACAAGCGCAAUCAAGUUAUCCCUAGACAACAGGUUCAACAACAGAUCAAUUCACUCCCGUGAUAGAAAUCCUCAAGCAAAGCUAGCCCAGACUAAUUCCCAUUAACGGAAUCUAACUAUGCAGGCAAUAAAAACAGACUGAUAAAGUCAAUAAACGCUCUAAACGGCCAAUCCCUUGGGAUAGAGACGCAUAUCUCAGGAACUAGUGGAUCAAGCAUUUCAUCGAACACCUUCUGGGUGCUGGAAUGCUUGGGAUCGAAUUCCAGUUGAUCAGAAAGAAAUAAGCAGUAAACGCAAGUAGUCCUAAAGGGAUUCAAUCAAUUCUAAAACUUAACCACUCUACAGACUACGAAUUCCACAACUACUCUAUCCCAUCCCUAAGAAUUCUAAGUCACUACUCAGACAACAUGCUCAAAGACAUAAACGUAGAUAAAUGAUAAUAUUGCAUAAGUAAAGAGAUAAAGAGUAGAGAAACAGGAUGACAAAUGAAAUCAAAUGCGGAAUCUGAAUAACUUGGAAAAAUCUCGAAUUACAGGUUGCAGAAGCAAAAGCGGCGCAGCAGAGUAAAACAAAAAAUAAAACUGAAGCAAAAACUCAAUGUCGACUAGAUGUCUCAGGACAGAACCCUAAGACAUCUAUUUAUACAAAACGAAAUAAAAUGAUAGUAGACGGGCCAAUAACCUAAUCGCCCGGCCCACAGAGUGAUAAUGGGCCGAGAUGGGCUUCGUGAUUCGAUGGAGGUCCAGGCCGCUUCCAAACACUUUGUCUUCUCCUCUUCUCUUCCUUGUGCUUAGCUUGUCUGGUUGAGUGCGGAUUUGAGUAGACUGUGAAGACGUGAUCGAGUGUCCGGUCGAGUGAUGGUGAUGGUGGUGAGUGAUGAUACUCGACCAGGGGGUCGAGUAAUUUGGUAGAGUGAAUGGCCGAGUGUGGUCAGGUGGUGUGGCGAAGUGAUACUCGACCAGGGGGUCGAGUGGCAUCAUCGAGUGGCCUGAGCUGAGGUUACUCGACCAAGGGGUCGAGAAGAUGGGAAGAAUGGCUCCAAAGUCACUCGACCAGGGGGUCGAGUAUGGUGCUGGAUGCACACGACCUGGUGGUCGAGUAUGUCUUCUGGUUCUGCCUCGUUUCUUCCAAUUUGCUCGCAAACAGCUCCAAAUCACCUGAAAACAACUCAGAAAUGCAAUAUGUAUGCAAAGCCAUCAUAAUCAUGCAAAGUAUGCAAGAAUGAUGAGAAAUGAUAUAAAACAGUGAUGAAUGAUACGAAACUGGACUCAAAACGAUGAUGAAUGGACAUUGAAAACAUGCAUAUUAU
rnacentral:sRNA from 1 species